rnacentral:rRNA from 1 species
CCAAUAGCGUAUAUUAAAGUUGUUGCAGUUAAAAAGCUCGUAGUUGAAUUUCGGGGUUAAUAAGUUGGUCGUACCUAUGGUAUGUACUGGCUUUAUUGAUUCCUACCUCUUGACGAACUGUGAUGCCAUUAAUUUGGUGUCGCAAGGAAUCAGGACUGUUACCUUGAAAAAAUUAGAGUGUUUAAAGCAGGCUUACGCUUGAAUACAUUAGCAUGGAAUA